rnacentral:rRNA from 1 species
AUUGAACGCUGGCGGCAGGCCUAACACAUGCAAGUCGAACGAGUGGCGGACGGGUGAGUAAUGUCUGGGAAACUGCCUGAUGGAGGGGGAUAACUACUGGAAACGGUAGCUAAUACCGCAUACCAUCAGAUGUUCCCAGAUGGGAUUAGCUUGUUGGUGGGGUAACGGCUCACAAAGGCGACGAUCCCUAGCUGGUCUGAGAGGAUGACCAGCCACACUGGAACGGAGACAGGGUCCAGAGUCUGACGGGAGGCAGCAGUGGGGAAUAUGGCACAAGGGGCGAAAGCCGGAUGCAGCAAUGCCGCGUGUAUGAAGAAGGCCUUCGGGUUGUAAAGUACUUUCAGCGGGGAGGCGUUACCCGCAGAAGAAGCACCGGCUAACUCCGUGCCAGCAGCCGCGGUAAUUC